AAACAUCCCGGCCUUCUCUUCCUGGUUCUUCCCAGAGUGGGGAAAAGCUGGGUUAAGAGGGCAGGGGAAAAAAAAA
rfam:Otolemur garnettii contig145226, whole genome shotgun sequence.